rnacentral:rRNA from 1 species
GAUGAACGCUGGCGGCGUGCCUAAUACAUGCAAGUCGAGCGAACAGACGAGGAGCUUGCUCCUCUGACGUUAGCGGCGGACGGGUGAGUAACACGUGGAUAACCUACCUAUAAGACUGGGAUAACUUCGGGAAACCGGAGCUAAUACCGGAUAAUAUAUUGAACCGCAUGGUUCAAUAGUGAAAGACGGUUUUGCUGUCACUUAUAGAUGGAUCCGCGCCGCAUUAGCUAGUUGGUAAGGUAACGGCUUACCAAGGCAACGAUGCGUAGCCGACCUGAGAGGGUGGUAGGCCACACUGGAACUGAGACACGGUCCAGACUCCUGCGGGAGGCCGCAGUAGGGAAUCUUCGGCAGUGGGCGAAAGCCUGACGGAGCAACGCCGCGUGAGUGAUGAAGGUCUUCGGAUCGUAAAACUCUGUUAUUAGGGAAGAACAAAUGUGUAAGUAACUAUGCACGUCUUGACGGUACCUAAUCAGAAAGCCACGGCUAACUACGUG